CUGAGUACUACACUCUCUACCCUUUGUGAACUAUUAUACCUGUUGCUUCGGCGGCGCCCGCGAGGGUGCCCGCCGGUCUCAUCAGAAUCUCUGUUUUCGAACCCGACGAUACUUCUGAGUGUUCUUAGCGAACUGUCAAAACUUUUAACAACGGAUCUCUUGGCUCCAGCAUCGAUGAAGAACGCAGCGAAACGCGAUAUGUAAUGUGAAUUGCAGAAUUCAGUGAAUCAUCGAAUCUUUGAACGCACAUGGCGCCUUCCAGUAUCCUGGGAGGCAUGCCUGUCCGAGCGUCGUUUCAACCCUCGAGCCCCCGUGGCCCGGCGUUGGGGAUCUGCCACGGCAGGCCCCUAAAACCAGUGGCGGACCCGAAGGCCCUCUCCUUUGCGCAGUAGCAUCAGCCUCGCAUUGGGAUCCCUCGGCGUCCUGCCUCUAAACCCCCCACAAGUCCGCUCCGGCGGCAC
rnacentral:misc_RNA from 1 species